GAAGGGACCUAGCGUAGUUCGGAAUUACUGGGCUUAAAGAGUUCGUAGGUGGUUGAAAAAGUUAGUGGUGAAAUCCCAGAGCUUAACUCUGGAACUGCCAUUAAAACUUUUCAGCUAGAGUAUGAUAGAGGAAAGCAGAAUUUCUAGUGUAGAGGUGAAAUUCGUAGAUAUUAGAAAGAAUACCAAUUGCGAAGGCAGCUUUCUGGAUCAUUACUGACACUGAGGAACGAAAGCAUGGGUAGCG
rnacentral:rRNA from 1 species